rnacentral:rRNA from 1 species
UGCCAGCCGCCGCGGUAAUACGGAGGGAGCGAACGUUGUUCGGAUUUACUGGGCGUAAAGGGCGCGUAGGCGGUUUUGCAAGUCAGGGGUGAAAUGUCUCGGCUCAACCGAGGACCUGCCUCUGAAACUGCAGAACUUGAGUUCGUGAGAGGAGACUGGAAUUCCUAGUGUAGCGGUGAAAUGCAUAGAUAUUAGGAAGAACACCAGUGGCGAAGGCGAGUCUCUGGCACGACACUGACGCUGAGGCGCGAAAGCUAGGGGAGCGAACGGGAUUAGAUA